rnacentral:rRNA from 1 species
GACGAACGCUGGCGGCGUGCCUAAUACAUGCAAGUAGGACGCAGUUGCGAACGGGUGAGUAACGCGUAGGUAACUGCCUAUUAGAGGGGGAUAACUAUUGGAAACGAUAGCUAAUACCGCAUACUAGUAGAUGGACCUGCGUUGUAUUAGCUAGUAGGUAGGGUAAUGGCCUACCUAGGCAACGAUACAUAUCCGAGAUGAGCGGGUGAUCGGCCAACCUGGGAAUGAGCAACGGCUCAGACUCCUACGGGAGGCCGCAGUAGGGAAUCUUCUGCAAUGGGGGGAACCCUGACCGCGAAACGCCGCGGUAGUGAAGAAGGUCUUCGGGUCGUAAAGCUCGGUUGUUAAGGAAGCGGUACUUAACCAGAAAGGGACGGCUAACUCCGUGCCAGCAGCCGCGGUAAUUC